UCACGUUCGAUCCAGAAAUUGGAGAUAAACAGAGAGAUAAACAGAACCGCGGACGCCCUUGUGCCAAGCACCAUCAUGUCUGAAUUUCCAGCUUACACACGGCGUUACCGGUGGUGACCCGCCUUGGGCUGAGUUCCAACGAUGUUCUGGACCUAGUUUGCCGAAAAUAUCGUGAUAUCUUUCUCUUCAAGGGGAUUUACGUGUUACUGUCCAUCAUGAAGCUGUGUGCAGUAGUGAAUUACAGCAAUUCAACAUACCAUCUAGACAAAUGGACAUGCCAAAAAACAUGGUACCAAACUUGGCUGCUGCGACUGCCCCCACCGUUCAAACUAUUCCCAUUCCCUACUGAGAACAAAAGACCCGAUGCCAGAAGACGGUGGAACAAACUAAUAAACAAGAAAGACUCGGUUAGCAAUAAAAACUGGGUUAACAAGCCACAUGAUAGGGUUUGUUCUCAACACUUUAUAGAUGGCAAACCCACAGCAGCACAUCCUGACCCCGUCCUACAUCUCGGCUACACAGGGCCUUCAUCUGACCAGAAGGUAACGCCAAAGCGACCACCUCCAUCAAAACGUGUUGCGGUUCCUGACCCCC